ensembl:lncRNA
ACCGAGGUUUAUUCUGAGCGCUGCUAAUUGCAGCCUCCUCUGCUAAAUCAUUAACAGCUCGACAGCCCGAGCAGAAAUCCUGCAGUGCCGGAGGGUUCUGGGGACUCAGGCUGUGCCUUGCCUCGCGGCAGGGACAUUUCUUGUCUUUUUCUUGUAUUUGCAUGGACCGGCCACCGUGUGCUCAGCGCUGGGAUGUGACACUGGGAGACACGGCUGCUCUGGGGGCUCACCCUCAGCCCCGCUUGCCCAGUGCCCCCAGCUCAUCUUCUCUUUCCUUAAACUCGUGUCCAGGCACAGCUGCUCCCCCUUUCUGUCCUUCGCUCCCCCCGGAGCAGGGGCUGGAGCUGGGAAGGCAUCAAGCAGCGCAGACACGGGGGGUGACCCGAAAAGGGAAUUAUUUUCUGGGCAGGUAAUGACGGAGCCUCCUGAGCUCCCUCCAACCUCGGCGAUUCCAGCUUUUCAUUUUGGGGGAGCAGGGGAAGCUCAGGGAGGGACACACCCGGCCCUUUCCCCUUCUGGGAGUACCCUUGGGGGUCCGGGUUCCGCCGAAUCAGAGCAAAGAAACGAGAGAGAAGGGUGCUCUGUUUAAUUCCUGCCUGUCCCCACAGGUUUUUUGGGCUGGGGGAAGAGAAAGCACGAAAAGAGCUUUAACCCCACGGUGGAGCAGCAUCCCUCAACUUCCACACCCCAUUUUAGAGCAUCGUUUGUAUCGGACAGCCGAGGAUGGCUCAGGCCGGACUGGAAAGCAGCCUGAGGAGCUCCGGGGAAUGUCGGAGCCGUGUUCCGAGCCCGGGCGGGGGGGAUGCGCUGGCGGCCGGGGGAUGGGACGAGCCGGCAGCGGGGGCCGGAGCGGUGACGCAGCGGCCGCUGACGCUGCUCCGGUGCCUGGCAGACGUGUGGCAGCCUGGCAGGAGCACGAAUGUGAUGCAAAGCACAGGAGAUGAGGGGUUUUUAUUCCUCCUAAGACCCACGCACCUUCACGAAGAUGGAGCCGCUGAGGAUGACAUUCCAGCAGGAGGAACCCCAAACCCAGGCUCUGGGGGGAGCAAGGUGACAGCGGCACCUCCCGCUGCAGCCCCCUCCCCUGCCAGCCCCCUCCCCGCUUUGUUAAUCCCGUAAAUGACAAUGUGACAGCCCAGCCGCAGCCCCCCCGUGCAGCCUUUCCCAGUGACCCCUCGGUGACUUUCUCAGCGUUUCCCAGCGAUCCCGCCCGUCCCCAGCUCCGCAUUUCCCUCACACCAUCCAAGGGACGGCCGUUUUCCAGCGCUGAGCCGCCGGGCCGGUGCCGCACCGAGCUGUACCGAGCCCGGUGCCCGGUACUGGUGCGGAGCCCGGAGCCGUACCGGGCCGUCCUGAGCCAGAGCAGCCCCGCCAGGGCUGCACCGUACCGAGCCCGGGGUCCCAUCAGUGCCGGCACCGGAGCCGGAUCGAGCCCGUAGCGGUGCCGUACCGGGCCGUGCCCAGCCCCGGUGCCGCAGCCAGCCCGGGGCCGGUGCAGUGCCGGCCCAUACCGAACCCCGGGCUGCGCCGUCCCGGUGCGGGGUCGCGUGUCCCCCACCCCCUUUCCCCGUGCCGGUGCGGAGCCCGUGCCGGAGCCGCCCCCGCCGGGGCCGAGCCCCGCCGCCAGCACCGCCCCCGGGCUAUAUA